rnacentral:misc_RNA from 1 species
UGCUCUCUACGCGUGUCUGUG